rnacentral:rRNA from 1 species
GAUUAACGCUGGCGGUGUGCCUAAUACAUGCAAGUCGAGCGGGUGCCAGUCUGUAGCAAUACAGAUGAAGCGCUAGCGGCAGACGGGUGAGUAACACGUAGCCAAUCUACCGUUCCGACCGGGAUAACUAUCGAAAGGUUAGCUAAUACCAGAUACGAUCAUCGAGCGGCAUCGUUUGAUGAUGAAAGCAGUAAUGCGCG